rnacentral:rRNA from 1 species
AAACCAACAGGGAUUACCUCAGUAACGGCGAGUGAAGCGGUAACAGCUCAAAUUUGAAAUCUGGGUCUUUCAGGCUCCGAGUUGUAAUUUGUAGAAGAUGCUUCGGGUGCGGCUCCGGUCUAAGUUCCUUGGAACAGGACGUCAUAGAGGGUGAGAAUCCCGUAUGUGAUCGGUUGCUUGCGCCCAUGUGAAGCUCUUUCGACGAGUCGAGUUGUUUGGGAAUGCAGCUCAAAAUGGGUGGUAAAUUUCAUCUAAAGCUAAAUAUUGGCCAGAGACCGAUAGCGCACAAGUAGAGUGAUCGAAAGAUGAAAAGCACUUUGGAAAGAGAGUUAAACAGUACGUGAAAUUGUUGAAAGGGAAGCGCUUGCAACCAGACUUGCGCGUUGCCGAUCAUCCGGGGUUCUCCCCGGUGCACUCGGCCUCGCCCAGGCCAGCAUCGGUUUUGGUGGUGGGAUAAAGGCCUUGGGAAUGUAGCUCCUUUCGGGGAGUGUUAUAGCCCUCGGUGCAAUGCCGCCUACCGGGACCGAGGACCGCGCUUCGGCUAGGAUGCUGGCGUAAUGGUUGUAAGCGAC